AAAACACUUCGCAUUAGCAUUGAAUUUGUUCUUGAAGAUCCAAAAGGUGGGAUCCAUUUUGUAAAUCCUGAAAUAGAAGGAAGUCCAGUGAAGAGAAAGUCACAUUUAUUUACUUACAAAUAUGGAAACUCAAGUCGACUCUGGUUUCCAUGUAUUGAUUCAUUCAGUGAAGUUUGUACCUGGAAAAUAGAAGUUACAACAGAUAUUGGAAUGAUUGUUGUUUGUCCAGGAAACUUAGUAGAAAAAGUAUACACAUCUGAUGAAAAGCAAGCUACUCAUCAUUUCAUUCUUAGUACUCCAACAUCAGCAUCAAAUAUUGGUUUGGCAAUCGGGCCUUUUGAAGUAGUUAUUGACCAAGAACUCUCUGAUGUUAUGUGUUUUGUUUUACCUGGAUUAUCUCCUCUUGUCAAUCAUACAACCUCGUUUCUUGGCGAUG
rnacentral:lncRNA from 1 species